rnacentral:rRNA from 1 species
AUUCGCGGCCUAUCAGCUUGUUGGUGGGGUAAUGGCCUACCAAGGCGACGACGGGUAGCCGGCCUGAGAGGGCGACCGGCCACACUGGGACUGAGACACGGCCCAGACUCCUACGGGAGGCAGCAGUGGGGAAUAUUGCACAAUGGGCGAAAGCCUGAUGCAGCGACGCCGCGUGAGGGAUGACGGCCUUCGGGUUGUAAACCUCUUUCGCCCAGGACGAAGCGUGAGUGACGGUACUGGGAGAAGAAGCACCGGCUGACUACGUGCCAGCAGCCGCGGUAAUACGUAGGGUGCGAGCGUUGUCCGGAAUUAUUGGGCGUAAAGAGCUCGUAGGCGGUUUGUCGCGUCGACUGUGAAAACCUGGGGCUUAACUCUGGGCCUGCAGUCGAUACGGGCAGACUUGAGUUCGGUAGGGGAGACUGGAAUUCCUGGCGUAGCGGUGAAAUGCGCAGAUAUCAGGAGGAACACCGGUGGCGAAGGCGGGUCUCUGGGCCGAUACUGGCGCUGAGGAGCGAAAGCGUGGGGAGCGAACAGGAUUAGAUACCCUGGUAGUCCACGCUGUAAACGUUGGGCGCUAGGUGUGGGGAGCAUUCAUGUUUUCCGUGCCGUAGCUAACGCAUUAAGCGCCCCG